CCUACGGAGGCAGCAGUGAGGAAUAUUGGUCAAUGGGCGUAAGCCUGAACCAGCCAAGUCGCGUGAGGGAUGAAGGUUCUAUGGAUCGUAAACCUCUUUUAUAAGGGAAUAAAGUGCGGGACGUGUCCCGUUUUGUAUGUACCUUAUGAAUAAGGAUCGGCUAACUCCGUGCCAGCAGCCGCGGUAAUACGGAGGAUCCGGGCGUUAUCCGGAUUUAUUGGGUUUAAAGGGUGCGUAGGCGGCCUUUUAAGUCAGCGGUGAAGGUCUGUGGCUCAACCAUAGAAUUGCCGUUGAAACUGGGAGGCUUGAGUCUGUUUGAGGCAGGCAGAAUGCGUGGUGUAGCGGUGAAAUGCUUAGAGAUCACGCAGAACCCCGAUUGCGAAGGCAGCCUCCCAAGCCAUGACUGACGCUGAUGCACGAAAGCGUGGGGAUCAAACAGGAUUAGAUACCCCUGUAGUC
rnacentral:rRNA from 1 species